ensembl:lncRNA
AGCCAAUUGAGUGCUGAGUUUGCCUUCAAGACAGUGGGCUGGGCGUCACACAUGAUUGGCUCCAGACUGAUUGUUCUAAUGACGCUCAUGUGUGAUCACUGUGACAUUUAGGUGUCUAUUUUACAUGCUCUGGGAAUAUCUGCAUUUGUCAUCAAACUUCAGUGUAUGAAGCAGACCCAUGGGGUUACAGUCUUGCAAGCCUUGCAACUCCUGCCUGCCGGACUGCAGAGCGGCUGGUGGCUGCUCGUGUGUGUGCGGCGACUGGAGAUAUUGCUCCGAACGCUGCUGCUGUGACAUCUGCUGCCAGAUGUGUGUGGACGUGUGCUCUGGCGUGUGUUCAGGAGACUGCAGCUACACCUUCUGUACCCUCUGCCUCAGCAUGGCACAGAGCUGUACCUCGUUUUUUACCACCCAACAAACUGAAACAUCAGAGGCACAACAACAAUGGCCCUCACAAUAAGCCCAAGCUUAUCACCACAAUCAUGGCUGAACAAAACAACUGUGAUCAAAACAAGGCU